rnacentral:tRNA from 1 species
GCCAGCGUAGCUCAGUCGGCAGAGCAGCUGAUUCGUAAUCAGCGGGUCGGAGGUUCAAGUCCUCUCGCUGGCU